rnacentral:sRNA from 1 species
AACCUGCGGAGGGAUCAUUACCGAGUUUACAACUCCCAAACCCCUGUGAACAUACCACUUGUUGCCUCGGCGGAUCAGCCCGCUCCCGGUAAAACCGGACGGCCCGCCAGAGGACCCCUAAACUCUGUUUCUAUAUGUAACUUCUGAGUAAAACCAUAAAUAAAUCAAAACUUUCAACAACGGAUCUCUUGGUUCUGGCAUCGAUGAAGAACGCAGCAAAAUGCGAUAAGUAAUGUGAAUUGCAGAAUUCAGUGAAUCAUCGAAUCUUUGAACGCACAUUGCGCCCGCCAGUAUUCUGGCGGGCAUGCCUGUUCGAGCGUCAUUUCAACCCUCAAGCACAGCUUGGUGUUGGGACUCGCGUUAAUUCGCGUUCCUCAAAUUGAUUGGCGGUCACGUCGAGCUUCCAUAGCGUAGUAGUAAAACCCUCGUUACUGGUAAUCGUCGCGGCCACGCCGUUAAACCCCAACUUCUGAAUGUUGACCUCGGAUCAGGUAGGAAUACCCGCUGAACUUAAGCAUAUCAAU